rnacentral:lncRNA from 1 species
CGGGUCCAAUCCUACACAAAUGGACUCGAAUGAGGCGUCAAACAUACUCUUAUUAACUCACAAACAACUUCCCAAAAUCCCUCUAAAAGCUCAUAGAACAAUCACAUAAAACAUGCAAAAGAACAGCUAGACAGAACACAUUCGGCGGCAGCUUCGGCGGCCGAAUGUCCUGUCCAGAGCCGAAACUCACAUACUUUCGGCAGCCGAAGCUCUCCUUUCGGCGGCCAAACCCUUUCGGGGGCAAGGUUCGGGGGUCACAACACACUCCAGAGACGAAAGUCUCUAACCUUCGGCGGCACCUUCGGCGGCCGAAACCCCUAAACAGAGCCGAACCUUAAAACACUCGGGGGCAAGCUGUGGCAGCCUAAGCCACCAUGCAAGAGGUUCGGCGGCCGAAUGCUCCUUCGGCUGCCGAACCUGAGUUCUUCAAGAACUCAGCUUCACCCGCAACCUAGCUCCUUCAUCCUUUCCUCCUCUCUAAACAUGCAUAACUCCAAUCCUCAACUCGCAUAUACUCACGUAUAUGCUCCAAGGGGUCCAAAACUACCUAUCAACCCCAACAAACAGCAAACAUAACACAUAGACAAGCUUGCAUGCAUAACUCAUCAAUAACUAAACUUACACCCUAUACAUGCCACUCUACCCUUAACCUCUUUCAAAACUGGUCUAAAUCAUUAAAACAAGUUAAAAAAGCUGUCCUUACCUCCUGAAAACAUAAGCUGAGCAACCUGAACCUAAGGACAUGCACCACCUUCCCUUCACCUUCGCCACACUACCAACCCUCGCUUUUUCACUCAAACCCUUCACCAUCAACCCAUUAAAACGUUACAAAAUGAUAAAACCAAAGCAAGUGACUCAGGGAGGACGUGGCCUCACCUCAGGAAGUGAAAGGAACGGAAAUCCAUCCAAGUCACCGACUGGAGGCGCUGAAAUAGAGGGCUGGCCGACUCACCUUCGGCUGCCAAACCUGCAUGCAAAACCAUGCAACGUUCGGGGGCCGAACAUGACCUUCGGAAGCCGAAUCUAUCACACUUUCGGCGGCCGAACAUUACCUUCGGGGGCCGAACCUGGCAGAAACUCCUUAGGCCAAUGCUCCUCACAACUUAACUCUUUUCUGAAUCAAAC